CCUACGGGUGGCAGCAGUGAGGAAUAUUGGUCAAUGGACGAGAGUCUGAACCAGCCAAGCAGCGUGAAGGAUGACUGCUCUAUGGGUUGUAAACUUUUUUUAUAUGGGAAUAAAAUGUUCCACGUGUGGGAUUUUGUAUGUACCAUAUGAAUAAGGAUCGGCGAACUCCGUGCCAGCAGCCGCGGUAAGACGGAGGGUCCGAGCGUUAUCCGGAUUUAUUGGGUUUAAAGGGAGCGUAGGUGGGUUCUUAAGUCAGAUGUGAAAGCUUGCGGCUCAACCGUAAAAUUGCAGUUGAAACUGGCAGUCUUGAGUACAGGAGAGGUGGGCGGAAUUCGUGGUGUAGCGGUGAAAUGCUUAGAUAUCACGAAGAACUCCGAUUGCGAAGGCAGCUCGCUGGACUGCAACUGACACUGAGGCUCGAAAGUGUGGGUAUCAAACAGGAUUAGAUACCCUGGUAGUC
rnacentral:rRNA from 1 species